rnacentral:rRNA from 1 species
GAUGAACGCUGGCGGCGUGCCUAACACAUGCAAGUCGAACGGAGAUUACGGACGGAAGUUUUCGGAUGGAAGCCUGUAAUUCUUAGUGGCGGACGGGUGAGUAACGCGUGGGCAACCUGCCCUAUACAGGGGGAUAGCAGCUGGAAACGGCUGGUAAGACCGCAUAAGUCGGUUAAAUCGCAUGAUUUGAUCGGGAAAUGAGCAAUCAGGUAUAGGAUGGGCCCGCGUCCGAUUAGCCAGUUGGCAGGGUAAAAGCCUACCAAAGCGACGAUCGGUAGCCGGACUGAGAGGUCGGACGGCCACAUUGGGACUGAGACACGGCCCAAACUCCUACGGGAGGCAGCAGUUGGGGAUAUUGCACAAUGGAGGAAACUCUGAUGCAGCGACGCCGCGUGAGUGAAGAAGUAUUUCGGUAUGUAAAGCUCUAUCAGCAGGGAAGAUGAUGACGGUACCUGACUAAGAAGCCCCGGCUAACUACGUG